rnacentral:rRNA from 1 species
AUUGAACGCUGGCGGAAUGCUUUACACAUGCAAGUCGAACGGCAGCACGGGGGCAGCCCUGGUGGCGAGUGGCGAACGGGUGAGUAAUACAUCGGAACGUGCCCGGUCGUGGGGGAUAACGUAGCGAAAGUUACGCUAAUACCGCAUACGAUCUGAGGAUGAAAGCGGGGGACCUUCGGGCCUCGCGCGAUCGGAGCGGCCGAUGUCAGAUUAGGUAGUUGGUGGGGUAAAGGCCUACCAAGCCGACGAUCUGUAGCUGGUCUGAGAGGACGACCAGCCACACGGGGACUGAGACACGGCCCAGACUCCUACGGGAGGCAGCAGUGGGGAAUUUUGGACAAUGGGCGCAAGCCUGAUCCAGCCAUUCCGCGUGCAGGACGAAGGCCUUCGGGUUGUAAACUGCUUUUGUACGGAACGAAAAGGCUCUGGCUAAUACCUGGGGCUCAUGACGGUACCGUAAGAAUAAGCACCGGCUAACUACGU